rnacentral:rRNA from 1 species
UACAGAGGGUGCGAGCGUUAAUCGGAAUUACUGGGCGUAAAGGGCGCGUAGGCGGAUAGGUUAGUGUGAUGUGAAAGCCCUGGGCUUAACCUGGGAAGUGCAUCGCAAACGGCCUAACUGGAGUAUAUGAGAGGGUGGCGGAAUUUCCGGUGUAGCGGUGAAAUGCGUAGAGAUCGGAAGGAACGUCGAUGGCGAAGGCAGCCACCUGGCAUAAUACUGACGCUGAGGCGCGAAAGCGUGGGUAGCGAACAGG